UAAGUUAAUCUCCAAGCCCAAUGGCUAGUUUCGUCAAUUGGGCUUGAAGAUUAACUUAGA
rnacentral:pre_miRNA from 1 species